rnacentral:lncRNA from 1 species
GAUUCGUCCCCCAAACUCCACACACACACACAGAGUCAUCUCCCAAACUCCACAAACACACACACACACAUCAGAUUCGUCUCCCAAACUCCACACACACACCCCCCCUAGAUUCGUCUCCCAAACUACACACACACACACCAGAUUCAUCUCCCAAAACACACACACACACACACACACACACACACAUCUUCUUGAUGCUGCCACUCAUCGCAUACUAACACAGCUAACACAGCUCCCAAACUACACACACACACACACACACACACACACACCCCUACCUGCCUUCCUGAUGCUGCCACUCACUGCAUACCAACACAGCCCAAAUUUUAAACAUCUGAAACCUAAUUCUGGCCUUUUCUCAAGCCUGCUUUACCCACAGUCUUCCCCAUCCCAGCUUCAGGCAACCUCAUUUUCGUAGUAGCCACUCUGGGAGCCACACAAGUGCUUUUCCCAUGGGGGAAGCACGAUACGAU